AUUUAAAUAGCUUAAUUAAAAGCGUAACAUUGAAGAUGUUAAAAUGAUAAAUUAUCUUUAAAUA
rnacentral:tRNA from 1 species